GUUGUAUGGUUAAGUGACUAAGCGUACACGGUGGAUGCCUUGGCAGUCAGAGGCGAUGAAAGACGUAGUAACUUGCGAUAAGCCCAGAUUAGGUAGUAACAACCAUUUGAGUCUGGGAUUUCUGAAUGGGGAAACCCACGUGCAUAAGCACGUAUCCUUACCUGAAUACAUAGGGUAAGGAGGCGAACCGGGGGAACUGAAACAUCUAAGUACCCCGAGGAAAAGAAAUCAACCGAGAUUCCGAAAGUAGCGGCGAGCGAAAUUGGACUAGCCCUUAAGCUUUACACGCGUUAGACGAACGGUCUGGAAAGUCCGACGAUACAGGGUGAUAGUCCCGUAGUUGACGACGUGUGUUCAGUGAAAUCGAGUAGGGCGGGACACGUGAUAUCCUGUCUGAAUAUGGGGGGACCAUCCUCCAAGGCUAAAUACUACUGACUGACCGAUAGUGAACCAGUACCGUGAGGGAAAGGCGAAAAGAACCCCUGUGAGGGGAGUGAAAUAGAACCUGAAACCGUGUACGUACAAGCAGUAGGAGCAGGCUUGUCCUGUGACUGCGUACCUUUUGUAUAAUGGGUCAGCGACUUAUAUUCAGUGGCAAGGUUAACCAUCUAGGGGAGCCGUAGGGAAACCGAGUCUUAACUGGGCGUUCAGUCUCUGGAUAUAGACCCGAAACCAGGUGAUCUAGCCAUGGGCAGGUUGAAGGUUGAGUAACAUCAACUGGAGGACCGAACCGACUAAUGUUGAAAAAUUAGCGGAUGACUUGUGGCUAGGGGUGAAAGGCCAAUCAAACCUGGAGAUAGCUGGUUCUCCCCGAAAGCUAUUUAGGUAGCGCCUCGGACGAAUACUACUGGGGGUAGAGCACUGUUAAGGCUAGGGGGUCAUCCCGACUUACCAACCCUUUGCAAACUCCGAAUACCAGUAAGUACUAUCCGGGAGACACACGGCGGGUGCUAACGUCCGUCGUGGAGAGGGAAACAACCCAGACCGCCAGCUAAGGUCCCAAAUUACUACUAAGUGGGAAACGAUGUGGGAAGGCUCAGACAGCCAGGAUGUUGGCUUAGAAGCAGCCAUCAUUUAAAGAAAGCGUAAUAGCUCACUGGUCGAGUCGGCCUGCGCGGAAGAUGUAACGGGGCUAAGUAGUAAACCGAAGCUGCGGCAAUGUGCUUUUGCAC
rnacentral:rRNA from 1 species